UUUUGUGUAGGAAACCGAAACGUUAGACAAAACUUAUUUAAUUUUACUCACAAACUCCGGUCGAAAUGUAUGGGAAAACAUAUGGUAAGGCCUGCCUUACCGUGCUCUAACUCACAUUUCAACCCUUCCGGAACCGGAAGAGAAAAGAAAGAAAAACAGGUCACAUGACCCGGCAUAUAAAUACCUCAAUCCCCGGUGCCUAAUCGGCUUUUUCUUCGUGCUCACUCACGCGUGUACACUCGUAAGGUAAGUUUUGUGAACUUUUUAAGCC